rnacentral:lncRNA from 1 species
AUGGAACUGAGCCUGGCAGACACUGCAAAUGAGGCCCCUGCCAGCCAGGGGAAGCAUUGAUAGGCACACUGAGGGUAUGCUGAAGAAGGCAGUGAGGUCCAGCUCCAGGAAGCUGCAGCAACAUUAGGCCACUGCAGCGGACCUCAUUUUCAGAAGGAUUUUAAGCCAAAGCCCAAGGUUUAUUAUAAAGGACUUACAAAGGACAAAGACGAAGAGACACAUAGGGCAAGGUACCAGGGAAGGGGCACAGAGCUUCCAUGCCCUCCCUGGGCGCAUCACUCUACAGGAACCUCCCUGUGUUCAGCUAUCCAGAAGCUCUCCAAACUCCAUCCUCUUGGGCUUUAAUGGAAGCUUCGCAAGGUCAGCAUUCCUUCCCCCAGGGUAUGCGGUGGGGCCCUCUCUGGAGAACCCCAGUUAAUUUUUAAAUAUUAAAAUAAAAAUGCUGGCCAGGCACAGUGACUCACACCUGUAAUCCCAGCACUUUAGGAGGCUGAGGCAGGGGGAUCACUUGAAGUCAGGAAUUCAAGACCAGUCUGACCAGCACGGUGAAACCCCAUCUCUACUAAAAAUACAAAAUUUAGCCAGCUGUGGUGGUGCGUGCCUGUAAUCCCAGCUGCUUGGGAGGCUGAGGCAGGAGAGUCAUCUGAAUCCUGGAGACAGAUGUUGCAGUGAGCUGAGAUUGCACCACUGCACUUCAUCCAGCCUGGGGUGACAGAACGAGACUCCGUUUCAAAAAAAUAAAAGAAUGAAAAUGCUAUGUGGAACAAAAAUUGUAUUCAUUUUUGAAACAAGUUUGUUUAAAUGAAAUGAAAUCCCAAGCAAACAACAAAGCUGUUUCUGAGGAGUGAAAGACCUUUUUUGCUUAAUUCUUCCCAUAGGAGAAAAUUCUUUGAAAUAUUUUCUUGCAAUUCGAUAAAAAUGGAAAGACCCAGCAUGUAGGUAGGGCUGCUUGAUUAUUGCAAUGGAGGGAGGGAAGAUGGGGAAGCACAUGCAGCCCUUCUGUGCACCAGGCUCCAGGUGUGAGGACUCUCAUAGCACCAUUUGUGCAACGACGGAUUCGGCCUACUGACAAGGUUUUGAGGAUUUCCCUACUCUGCUAUGUGGAAAUGGAGACACUCAACAUCUCCUUAUAAAAUAUCUUGUGCCAGCCCUCAAGAUACAUGAAGCUGUGGGCCCUCAGAAACAUCUGGCUCAGCAGAAAUGACUGCAGGGUCUGCCUCUGAAGCCCAGCGUUUCUACUCCAUUUGGGAUAUUCCACACAGGAAGAGAAUUGGAAAUGCUGGAGAAGCUCUGGAAGCCCACAGAGAACAGAUGCAUAAACACCAUUUACCAGACACAGCUCAGCAAACCCUCUCUCUCUUCCUUCCAGCAGCUUGGUUGUCCUCAAGGAGUUCCUAAAUUUCAUACUUCUGAGGGUUAUAUGGGAUGGUGAGGGGUGGAGGAGAGUAGCACGGAUUGAAAAAUACAUUAAUGUUGGCUGGGCACAGUGGCUCACACCUGUAAUCCCAGCGCUUUGGGAGGCCGAGGCUGGUAGAUCACCUGAGGUCAGGAGUUUGAGACCAGCCUGGCCAACAUGGCGAAACCCCAUCUCUACUAAAAAUACAAAAUUUAGCUGGGUGUGAUGGCACAUGCUUGUAAUCCCAGCUACUCAGGAGGCUGAGGCAGGAGAAUCGCUUGAACCCAGGAAGCGGAGGUUGCAGUGAGCUGAGAUUGCAGCAUUGCACUCCAGCCUGGGCAACAAGAGAGAUGCUCCAUCUUAAAAAAAAAAAGAAAAAUACAUUAAAGUGUACCAAAAUAAAUAUAUGACAGCUUUUAAAUUAUUUUCCAUGGGAAAAAAACUUAUAAUUAGUGACAAUUACUUACUGAGGGCCUGCUGGGCUAGACAUUAUGGACAUUGUGAAAGAUAAAAAGUUCAAGACACAGACUCUGUUUUCAGGAUGUGUACGCUUUAAAUAUGAAGUUAACACAGGGCAGAAAAGUAGAUACACACAUGCACACACAUACCUAUACACACAUACCUACACACACACACACACACACACACACACACAAAUACUCCUCAGACCCAAAGGACGGAGACAUCACAAUGAACAAGAUGAACAAUUGGUAGGAUUUUAAAAGACUAUUUUCUUUUUCAGCAAGGAGGAUGGAGUGGGCAGGUAGGGGAUGGUAUUUAUUUCCCAAGCAAAUCAAUUAGAAAAAAUAUUUGUAUUUCAGUAAAUUUAUUUUUUUCAAUCUUCAGAUAUAAGAAGGCUUUUCCAUGAAAAACACUCUAUUUA